AUACGGAGGGAGCGAGCGUUAAUCGGAAUUACUGGGCGUAAAGCGCGCGUAGGCGGCUUUGUAAGUCGGUUGUGAAAGCCCUGGGCUCAACCUGGGAAUGGCAUUCGAUACUGCAGAGCUAGAGUAUGGUAGAGGGAAGUGGAAUUUCCGGUGUAGCGGUGAAAUGCGUAGAUAUCGGAAGGAACACCAGUGGCGAAGGCGACUUCCUGGGCCAAUACUGACGCUGAGGUGCGAAAGCGUGGGGAGCAAACAGGAUUAGAAACCCCGGUAGUCC
rnacentral:rRNA from 1 species